AGUAGUUUGAUCAGUGGCUCAGGACGACGCUGGCGGCGUGCUUAACACAUGCAAGUCGAACGGUGACCCAGGGCUUGCCCUGGUGAUCAGUGGCGAACGGGUGAGUAACACGUGGGCAACCUGCCCCUGACUUCGGGAUAACUCCUCGAAAGAGGAGCUAAUACCGGAUACGACCACUUCGGACAUCCGAUGGUGGUGGAAAGUUCUUCGGUCAGGGAUGGGCCCGCGGCCUAUCAGCUAGUUGGUGGGGUAAUGGCCUACCAAGGCGACGACGGGUAGCCGGCCUGAGAGGGCGACCGGCCACACUGGGACUGAGACACGGCCCAGACUCCUACGGGAGGCAGCAGUGGGGAAUAUUGCGCAAUGGGCGAAAGCCUGACGCAGCGACGCCGCGUGAGGGAUGAAGGCCUUCGGGUUGUAAACCUCUUUCAGCAGGGACGAAGCGAAAGUGACGGUACCUGCAGAAGAAGCACCGGCUAACUACGUG
rnacentral:rRNA from 1 species